rnacentral:lncRNA from 1 species
GAGGAAGAGGAGCAGCAGCAAAGCCACUAUACUUAAGUCACCCUCCAUUUUCUGAAUAUUUUGACUAAAAUCUAAUGUUUUUAUGUGUUUCUAGGCUCAGAUAUGUGAAUGGAAGGAGUAGGAGAAAGAAGAAGGAGUAACAAUGCAGAAGGAUGAAGAAGAAAUGAGAAAUAAAGAUUGAAAAGGAGAAGCUAAGGUGACGACAGGCAAAAUGAGUUGGACGUAGCGGAGACCGUGGGUGGUCAAUUCACGGCGCAGAAUACCUAUACCUUGCACCACGCUGACUGCCCGCAGCUGUUCACUAAAGUCGGGCAAGCCUGUAUCUCCGUGUUUUGCCCUGGAUAUAGGAGUAAAACGUUGAUGAGUGCGUGGAGUCGUCCAGAUCCUCUCCCUGUGGACCAUCCCCUCAGCAGUGUGCGAUCCGCCCAGCAACACCAACGGUCAUGAGAAGGCGGUCAUUGAAGUGUCAAAGUCCCCAAGCUGGCAUUGUGAUGUUUGUAUGACUACACUGAAACAAGCCCAGAAUAAAGUGUUUAGUGACCAUGAUGAAUUAGUACUACUAACGCCAAAGAAGUGAGGGAAGUGUUUGGAGUGAACGUGCAAGACGUACAACAGACACCAGACUGCUACUGCCGCUGUAGUCAAAGGAACAAGAUGAGGCGGAGAAGGAGGAGGAACAAGAAGUGAUUAUUGGAGACGUACCUAUGAAGUUCCUAAGGUUGGCCUCAAAUCUUCAUUACUGGUGUAUUUCAUUGAACGUUUGUAGAUUGGGUGGAUAAAUUUGUAGAUUUUGUAGACAGUUGCAGAUGUGAAGUGGGUAAGGUUUUUUGCAAUGCCUUAUCUACACCAGCAGAAAACCGUGAUAUGUAGAAAUUGUGAUAGAAGUAUUGUGAUAGGAAUAUACCGUGUAGAGAAUUUAAAAGAGGAGAGUGUAGACCCAAAUUUAUUGAUAAUGGAGUUCCUCAGGGUUCUGUCUUGUCACCCUCUCUCUUUCUAUAAUUAAUUAAUUAACCAAACUUGUUGU